UGAUACUCCUAUCUUUAGCUUCUCGUAAG
rnacentral:piRNA from 1 species